UACGUAGGGGGCAAGCGUUGUCCGGAAUCAUUGGGCGUAAAGCGCGUGUAGGCGGCCUUGUAAGUCCGUUCUGAAAGCCCGGGGCUCAACCCCGGGAGGCGGAUGGAUACUGCAAGGCUCGAGUCCGGAAGAGGCGAGUGGAAUUCCCGGUGUAGCGGUGAAAUGCGCAGAUAUCGGGAAGAACACCCGUGGCGAAGGCGGUUCUCUGGGACGGUACUGACGCUGAGACGCGAAAGCGUGGGGAGCGAACAGG
rnacentral:rRNA from 1 species